rnacentral:rRNA from 1 species
GGCGUGCUUAACACAUGCAAGUCGAACGAUGAUGCCCAGCUUGCUGGGUGGAUUAGUGGCGAACGGGUGAGUAACACGUGAGUAACCUGCCCCUGACUCUGGGAUAAGCGUUGGAAACGACGUCUAAUACUGGAUAUGAUCACUGGCCGCAUGGUCUGGUGGUGGAAAGAUUUUUUGGUUGGGGAUGGACUCGCGGCCUAUCAGCUUGUUGGUGAGGUAAUGGCUCACCAAGGCGACGACGGGUAGCCGGCCUGAGAGGGUGACCGGCCACACUGGGACUGAGACACGGCCCAGACUCCUACGGGAGGCAGCAGUGGGGAAUAUUGCACAAUGGGCGAAAGCCUGAUGCAGCAACGCCGCGUGAGGGAUGACGGCCUUCGGGUUGUAAACCUCUUUUAGUAGGGAAGAAGCGAAAGUGACGGUACCUGCAGAAAAAGCACCGGCUAACUACGUGCCAGCAGCCGCGGUAAUACGUAGGGUGCAAGCGUUGUCCGGAAUUAUUGGGCGUAAAGAGCUCGUAGGCGGUUUGUCGCGUCUGCUGUGAAAUCCCGAGGCUCAACCUCGGGCUUGCAGUGGGUACGGGCAGACUAGAGUGCGGUAGGGGAGAUUGGAAUUCCUGGUGUAGCGGUGGAAUGCGCAGAUAUCAGGAGGAACACCGAUGGCGAAGGCAGAUCUCUGGGCCGUAACUGACGCUGAGGAGCGAAAGCAUGGGGAGCGAACAGGAUUAGAUACCCUGGUAGUCCAUGCCGUAAACGUUGGGCGCUAGAUGUAGGGACCUUUCCACGGUUUCUGUGUCGUAGCUAACGCAUUAAGCGCCCCGCCUGGGGAGUACGGCCGCAAGGCUAAAACUCAAAGGAAUUGACGGGGGCCCGCACAAGCGGCGGAGCAUGCGGAUUAAUUCGAUGCAACGCGAAGAACCUUACCAAGGCUUGACAUACACCGGAAACGGCCAGAGAUGGUCGCCCCCUUGUGGUCGGUGUACAGGUGGUGCAUGGUUGUCGUCAGCUCGUGUCGUGAGAUGUUGGGUUAAGUCCCGCAACGAGCGCAACCCUCGUUCUAUGUUGCCAGCGGGUUAUGCCGGGGACUCAUAGGAGACUGCCGGGGUCAACUCGGAGGAAGGUGGGGAUGACGUCAAAUCAUCAUGCCCCUUAUGUCUUGGGCUUCACGCAUGCUACAAUGGCCGGUACAAAGGGCUGCGAUACCGUAAGGUGGAGCGAAUCCCAAAAAGCCGGUCUCAGUUCGGAUUGAGGUCUGCAACUCGACCUCAUGAAGUCGGAGUCGCUAGUAAUCGCAGAUCAGCAACGCUGCGGUGAAUACGUUCCCGGGCCUUGUACACACCGCCCGUCAAGUCAUGAAAGUCGGUAACACCCGAAGCCGGUGGCCUAACCCUUGUGGAAGGAGCCGUCGAAGGUGGGAUCGGUGAUUAGGACUAAGUCGUAACAAG